AUGAGGUUCUUGUGUUGGAACUGUCGCGGCCUAGGGACGGACGCGACAGUUGGCGAGCUGAAAUGGCUCGUUAAUAAAUAUCGUCCCUCCCUCCUCUUUCUAUCCGAGACGAAGAUGAGGGACUCAAGAGCUCGGAGCCUAAUGUGGACGUUGGGUUUUUCGGGAGCUUUUGCAGUUAGCAGUGAUGGAUUGAGUGGGGGUUUGGCCCUUUAUUGGUCUGCCUCUAUC
rnacentral:rRNA from 1 species